rnacentral:lncRNA from 1 species
GCGUGACCUCUGUUAGCUUGUGUGGAAAGCAGGGGCUUAUCUCCUCGGCUUGUUGUCCAUUAGGGUUCAUACCUGUGGGCUCAGGUCACCUUCUUCUCAUUAGCUUAGAAAAAUUAUAUCACUUCAUUAGAGGUGUUUGUUCAGCUUCUGAGUGUCCCCAGGCAUUUGGAUGUGUUGGUGGAGUUCUCCACUGGGUCCACUCCAUCAUAAUGAAGCUUCAACACAGGACUCCACAGAGCUCCAGGAGAGAAAUCUGGGAAGGAGAAAGUGAAGGGAGAUUGGGUGUUUCUUCAAGCUUCUGGGGAAGUGUUCCUCCCUCGUUGUAAGGAGAUUGAGCCAGGCUGUAGCUGAGAGAUUCAUUGCUUUCCAAAACGUCUGUGGUUCUUAUCAUGAUUUAGUCUCUACUAGACCUUGUAGACAUUAAACAACAAGAAUGAGCACUAUUCUCACUCAGGAAAAGAAACAUUAUAUAUUGGAUGCUGGAACACUACCACGAUGUGCUGUGAGAUCUUACCAUCUGCUAUUCCAUUAGGGUGAGUU